rnacentral:tRNA from 1 species
UCUCGCAUAGCUCAAUCGGUAGAGCGUCCGGCUGUUAACCGGGAUGUUGCAGGUUCAAGUCCUGCUGUGAGAG